CCAGCACCCCGAGUGGUCGGGACGAUUAUUGGGCCUAAAGCAUCCGUAGCCGGUUUUACAAGUCCUCCGUUAAAUCCAACUGCUUAACAGAUGGGCCGCGGAGGAUACUAUAAGACUAGGAGGCAGGAGAGGCGAGCGGUACUCAGUGGGUAGGGGUAAAAUCCGUUGAUCCAUUGAAGACCACCAGUGGCGAAGGCGGCUUGCCAGAAUGCGCUCGACGGUGAGGGAUGAAAGCUGGGGGAGCAAACCGGAUUAGAUACCCGGGUAGUCCCAGCUGUAAACGAUGCAGACUCGGUGAUGGACUAGCUUUAUGCUAGUCCAGUGCCGCAGGGAAGCCGUUAAGUCUGCCGCCUGGGUAGUACGGUCGCAAGACUG
rnacentral:rRNA from 1 species